rnacentral:rRNA from 1 species
UACAGAGGUCUCAAGCGUUGUUCGGAUUCAUUGGGCGUAAAGGGUGCGUAGGCGGCGCUGUAAGUCGGGUGUGAAAUCUCGGAGCUUAACUCCGAAACUGCAUUCGAUACUGCCGUGCUUGAGGACUGGAGAGGAGACUGGAAUUUACGGUGUAGCGGUGAAAUGCGUAGAUAUCGUAAGGAAGACCAGUGGCGAAGGCGGGUCUCUGGACAGUUCCUGACGCUGAGGCACGAAGGCCAGGGGAGCAAACGGG